CUAACCAAGCAAGAGAUAUUCGGUUAUCUGGCCAAACAUUAGAGAAGUUUGACCCUGGCCAUCGCCAAGGUAGCGUAUCUACUCCUCAAGUGGUUAAAAAAAUGGCAAAGAAAAAGGAUGGAAUUUUACCAACUGCUGCUGAAGUAUAUGAGAGCACUCAUUCUAUUUGUGUGGGCAAUGAUGAAGUUGAAUUGAUGGGUGACAAGUCUCAAAAAGUCAUGGGAGAAUAUAUGGAAAAACUUGAGGAAUAUAAGAACAAAGGAAUUUUGAGAUAAACCCCGACAAAAUCUACUUGGAGGUUGUAGGUGGGCAAAAGAAAGGAAAAGUCUACGGUUUAGGGAGUGCUUCACAAAUGUAUUACAAGAGUGAUCCUACUUCUCAAUCUACUGCAUCAUCUUCCACUCCUUCCAUGAUUUCUCAAUUAAGUUCUCAAGUUGAAGAACUAAAGAAGAUGGCGGAAGAAAACCAUAACAAGGUAGAAGAAAGCCAAAAAAUAGCGGCAGAGAACUUAAAAUGUGCUAAGGAAUUCGUCGAAAAUCAUGAGAUCGAAAAAGCUACAUGGAAGAAGGAAAAAUUAGCUAUGCAAAAAACAUUGCAGGAAAUGGCAUCACUUGUAAAACAAGUUUACCGUCCUUAUAAGCCUCCUACGCCUGCAGUCACCCGCUCUCGUGAUACAACUAAGUGAUUUUUAUUUUCUUGGUGGUAAUUUUAUGAACAACUGGUCUUUUACAUUGUCAUUAAUUCUUGUUUGAAGUAGCUUUUUUUUUAUAUGGGAGGUGACUUUUGGAACAAUUAGUCUUAUAAGUUAAAUAUUGUUUUUUAAUACAUUGAUACAAAAUUGAUUGAUAUUUUGGAUAUUUGAAUAAAAUUAACAUUUUGGUUAUUUGAA